AGCGAACGCUGGCGGCAGGCCUAACACAUGCAAGUCGAACGAACCUUUCGGGGUUAGUGGCGGACGGGUGAGUAACACGUGGGAACGUGCCUUUAAGUUCGGAAUAACUCAGGGAAACUUGUGCUAAUACCGAAUGUGCCCUUCGGGGGAAAGAUUUAUCGCCUUUAGAGCGGCCCGCGUCUGAUUAGCUAGUUGGUUGAGGUAAUGGCUCACCAAGGCGACGAUCAGUAGCUGGUCUGAGAGAAUGAUCAGCCACAUUGGGACUGAGACACGGCCCAAACUCCUACGUGAGGCAGCAGUGGGGAAUCUUGCGCAAUGGGCGAAAGCCUGACGCAGCCAUGCCGCGUGAAUGAUGAAGGUCUUAGGAUUGUAAAAUUCUUUCACCUGGGACGAUAAUGACGGUACCCGGAGAAGAAGCCCCGGCUAACUUCGUG
rnacentral:rRNA from 1 species